GGUAGCGUGGCCGAGUGGCCUAAGGUGCUGGCUUUAGGCACCAUUCUCUUCGGAGAUGUGGGUUCGAAUCAUGCUGCUGCCA
rnacentral:tRNA from 1 species